UGCUAUAGUAUAUAAUAUCUGGCCUGCCCAGUGACGAAAUUUUUAAUUAACGGCCGCAGUAUUUUGACUGUGCAAAGGUAGCAUAAUCAAUUGUCCAUUAAUUGUGGGCUGGAAUGAAGGGUCGGACUUAACUUAACUUUUUUAAUAAUAAUAAAUGAAUUUAUAUUUUUUAUAAAAAUAUUUAAAUGAGUAUUAAAGACGAGAAGACCCUAUCGAGUUUUAUAUUAUAUUUAAUACUUACGGAUAGAGAUUAUAGUUAGUUAGAAUAUUUUACUGGGGCGGUAGUCUUAUAAAACGUAUUUAAACUUAGACUUUAUAGAUGAGAUCCUUAAAACCUAGGAUUCAAUGAUUAAAUUACUGUAGGGAUAACAGUGUUAUGUUAGUUGAGAGGUCUAAUUAAUACUAAUGUUUGCCACCUCGAUGUUGAUUUAGGAAAGCCUGUAGGGAGCAUAGUAUCUAUUAGGUGGCUUGUUCAGCCAUUAAAAUCUUAUG
rnacentral:rRNA from 1 species